rnacentral:misc_RNA from 1 species
AAAUGAGGAAUUCAGAGCUGCAGUCUUUGCAGCAAAGCGGGCAUUUCCAUCAUGGAGAAGCACACCAAUUACCACCCGUCAACGAAUCAUGUUCAAGUUUCAAGAGCUUAUCCGGAGGGAAAUUGUAAAUUUUUGGAUUUGGGUUUUAUUUACUUUAGCUUGCAAUAUGUUGUUGAUAUGUGUUACAUUUAUUUUUUUUCCCAGGAUAAGCUGUCCAUGACCAUUACUGUUGAACAUGGAAAGGCUUUAAAAGAUGCAUAUGCUGACGUGUCACGAGGGCUAGAGGUGGUG